rnacentral:rRNA from 1 species
AGUGAACGCUGGCGGUAGGCCUAACACAUGCAAGUCGAACGGCAGCACAGUAAGAGCUUGCUCUUACGGGUGGCGAGUGGCGGACGGGUGAGGAAUACAUCGGAAUCUACUUUUUCGUGGGGGAUAACGUAGGGGAACUUACGCUAAUACCGCAUACGACCUACGGGUCAAAGCAGGGGAUCUUCGGACCUUGCGCGAUUGAAUGAGCCGAUGUCGGAUUAGCUAGUUGGCGGGGUAAAGGCCCACCAAGGCGACGAUCCGUAGCUGGUCUGAGAGGAUGAUCAGCCACACUGGAACUGAGACACGGUCCAGACUCCUACGGGAGGCAGCAGUGGGGAAUAUUGGACAAUGGGCGCAAGCCUGAUCCAGCCAUACCGCGUGGGUGAAGAAGGCCUUCGGGUUGUAAAGCCCUUUUGUUGGGAAAGAAAAGCAGCAGGUUAAUACCCCGCUGUUCUGACGGUACCCAAAGAAUAAGCACCGGCUAACUUCGUG